CUGUUUUCUGUUUGCGGCUGCCAUGAACUGCGGCCCAGCCAUGCCCGCCUGCCUUGGAGCCAACUGAGUGUGGACUGAAACCUUCAAAAACUGUUUACUUCCUGUGCACACUGUCUGGACGCCCUUCAAAAGCUGCUGAGGAGAGAAAUUGAUAGAUCCCUAUGCCAAGAAAAAAAAUGAACUACACGAAGCUAGGAGACUCCUCUGGCCAUCAUGAAGUGAACAGCGUUUACCAUCAUGCCUACCUCCAGGUAUUCCUGCCUCAGAAAUAGCCAACCAUCAACUGAAACCUCUGAAACAAUAAGUCAAAUAAACUAUAUCUUCCUUAAGUUGUACGCAUCACUCAUCUACCAGCAGUGAAUGCUUUCAUGGUUGGGUUUUGUAGCCCAGGAACAACUUCACACACAAGGUCUCUGCAACUCACCUCUCGCCACCAUCACCCACAAUUAAGACUCAUUAAGAUUUUCCUCACUUCUAUCUUCCAAGGACAAAAAUAAGUACAAGAAUUUAUGGAGUUGGAGAACACCGAACAGCAGAUUCUGAGAAGUAAGCCUUCAGAAAUCUGUGGAUUCCAGUGGACAGGGCUCCAUUAGACCACGAC